UGCUAUUAUUGAUAUGUACUGGGCUGAGUAGUUUGUUUUCUGCAGUUAUUGAUGGAAAUGCAGCCUAGAAAGCUAUAUCUGACCU